rnacentral:rRNA from 1 species
AGUGAACGCUGGCGGUAGGCCUAACACAUGCAAGUCGAACGGCAGCACAGUAAGAGCUUGCUCUUACGGGUGGCGAGUGGCGGACGGGUGAGGAAUACAUCGGAAUCUACUUUUUCGUGGGGGAUAACGUAGGGAAACUUACGCUAAUACCGCAUACGACCUACGGGUGAAAGCAGGGGAUCUUCGGACCUUGCGCGAUUGAAUGAGCCGAUGUCGGAUUAGCUAGUUGGCGGGGUAAAGGCCCACCAAGGCGACGAUCCGUAGCUGGUCUGAGAGGAUGAUCAGCCACACUGGAACUGAGACACGGUCCAGACGCCUACGGGAGGCAGCAGUGGGGAAUAGUGGACAAUGGGCGCAAGCCUGAUCCAGCCAUACCGCGUGGGUGAAGAAGGCCUUCGGGUUGUAAAGCCCUUUUGUUGGGAAAGAAAAGCAGCAGGUUAAUACCCCGCUGUUCUGACGGUACCGAAAGAAUAAGCACCGGCUAACUUCGUG